GACGAACGCUGGCGGCGUGCUUAACACAUGCAAGUCGAACGGAAAGGCCCUGCUUUUGUGGGGUGCUCGAGUGGCGAACGGGUGAGUAACACGUGAGUAACCUGCCCUUGACUUUGGGAUAACUUCAGGGAACUGGGGCUAAUACCGGAUAGGAGCUCCUGCUGCAUGGGGGGGGUUGGAAAGUUUCGGCGGUUGGGGAUGGACUCGCGGCUUAUCAGCUUGUUGGUGGGGUAGUGGCUUACCAAGGCUUUGACGGGUAGCCGGCCUGAGAGGGUGACCGGCCACAUUGGGACUGAGAUACGGCCCAGACUCCUACGGGAGGCAGCAGUGGGGAAUAUUGCACAAUGGGCGGAAGCCUGAUGCAGCAACGCCGCGUGCGGGAUGACGGCCUUCGGGUUGUAAACCGCUUUCGCCUGUGACGAAGCGUGAGUGACGGUAAUGGGUAAAGAAGCACCGGCUAACUACGUG
rnacentral:rRNA from 1 species